rnacentral:rRNA from 1 species
AUUGAACGCUGGCGGCAGGCCUAACACAUGCAAGUCGAACGAGUGGCGGACGGGUGAGUAAUGUCUGGGAAACUGCCCGAUGGAGGGGGAUAACUACUGGAAACGGUAGCUAAUACCGCAUACCAUCGGAUGAGCCCAGGUGGGAUUAGCUAGUAGGUGGGGUAAUGGUUCACCUAGGCGACGAUCCCUAGCUGGGCUGAGAGGAUGACCAGCCAAACUGGAACGGAGACACGGCCCAGACUCCUACGGGAGGAAGCAGUGGGGAAUAUUGCACAAGGGGCGAAAGCCUGAUGCAGCAAGGCCGCGUGUAUGAGGAAGGCCUUCGGGUUGUAAAGUACUUUCAGCGAGGAGGCGUUACUCGCAGAAGAAGCACCGGCUAACUCCGUGCCAGCCGCCGCGGUAAUAC